CAGUCCCAAACUGAUUAAACCCGACCAGUAGGGAAAAUGACCACGUGGCACGUUUUUGUUGGUCUUUUUACCAUAAAAAGCUAAAAACAUAUUUUUGCCCGUUCCUCGUACUAGUACCAGUUACCGCCAUACCAGUCACCAACUCACCACCAAGCUUCCCCUCUCCCAGCAAAUACUCAAAUUGCUACCAUCAACCAUUUCAUCAAUUUAAGGUUUUUGUUGUGGCUUUCAACAUGAAUUUUACCUAGACAAGUGUAAGCCAAUGAGAAUAUUCAGUUUUGUUCAUUUCAAACAAUCCAACAUUUGUAGUUUUUGGGAGUACCAAUUAUGCCAGAUUCACUGCUCAAUUUCAGCUGGUUGUCGUUGUGUAUGCCUUCCACCUGUUCGAAGAAAUGCCCCAAUGAAAGAAAGCCAGUAAAAAGAAGGUUUAGUGUAGCAGCAAACAAGACCGAGGUACCCGUGUUGAAGGGGUUACAGAAACGGCAGAAAAAGGAAUUAUCAAAGAUACUGUGGACCGAGGCAGCAAUUAAAGCCAUUGAGGGAAAAGCCGAGUCUAAAAAGUUUAAGAAUUUGUCGCCAAAAGCUGUUUUGGAGGCUUUAGACGAGGCUAUUCAGCACUCCAAAUGGGAGUCUGCUCUCAAGAUAUUUGGCCUGCUUCGCAAACAACAGUGGUAUGAACCAAGAUGCCAAACAUACACAAAGCUUUUGAUGUUGCUUGGGAAAUGUAGGAAGGCGGAGCAAGCUGGCUUGCUUUUUGAGGUGCUGUUGUCUGAUGGGCUUCAGCCUACUGUUGAUGUCUUUACUGCAUUGGUAAAUGCUUAUGGAAUGUGUGGUCUCUUUGAUCUAGCAUUUUCAACCAUUGAUGACAUGAAAUCUGCGUACGACUGUAAACCUGAUGUUUACACAUACUCAAUACUACUUAGGUGCUCCAUUAAGAACCACCGUCUUGAUCUUGUAAGUCAGAUUCUUGCCGAGAUGACAUAUCUAGGAAUAGAAUGCAGUGCAGUUACAUAUAACACUGUAAUAGAUGGAUAUGGCAAGGCUGAAUUGUUUGAAAUGAUGGAGAACGUAUUAUCUGACAUGAUUGGUAGUAGUACUUGUCAUCCCGAUGUUUUCACAAUGAACUCUUUCAUUUCGUCUUAUGGGAGUUGUGGGAAAAUAGAGAAGAUGGAGAGGUCAUAUGAAGAGUUUCAGUUAAUGGAGAUAAGCCCAGAUGUGAGGACCUUUAACAUCUUAAUCAGGUCGUAUGGGAGGGCAGGCAUGUAUCAGAAAAUGGAGUCAGUUCUGAACUUCAUGGAGAAAAGGUUCUUCUCCCCAGUUGUUGUGACUUUCAAUACUGUGAUUGAUAUAUUUGGACGAGCUGGUAAUAUUGAGAAGAUGGAUGAAUUUUUCCUGAAAAUGAAGCAUCAGGGGAUAAAACCUAAUACCAAUACAUAUUGCUCACUUGUUAAUGCUUAUAGUAAAACUGGGAAGUUGUUCAAAGUGGAUUCAAUUCUUAGGCAAGUUGAGAAUUCCGAUGUGGUUUUGGACACUCCAUUCUUUAAUUGUGUCAUUAGUGCCUAUGGACGGGCAGGAAAUGUUGAUAAAAUGAGUGAGUUUUUCUCGGAAAUGAAGGAAAAGAACUGCCAGCCAGAUUAUAUAACCUUUGCUACGAUGAUGCAAGCAUACAAGGCCAAGGGGAUGACUGAAGUUGCAGAAACAAUUGAGGCAAAGAUGCUGUCCAUACAAACAUAAGUUGCUAGUUUAUUUUUCCUAGAAUCCUACCUUGGGAUACUGCUCUGUGUUAACCGCAGUCAUAGCAAGAAAUGAAUGAUUGGAGGGCUUUGUGACAGCUAGCUGUAGCUACUUGCUGGUGUGGUUAUGUUUUGUGAGAAUUGUGACCCUUGCAGGCACAUCCCUCAUCCGAUUCUGGUUUGGGAGCCUCUCACUAGUGGCUUCAUGAAACAUAAUACUGAUGGGGCACAAGCUCAGAAGGAUGAUCUCUUUGCAGCUGGGGAUGGUUAUUUCAGACGGUUAAUGGGCUUUUCUAUCAAAAUUUUUAGAGCUCCCUCUGCAGAAGCAGCUGAGUUGCUUUCUGUCAAGGAAGGGUCUUUCCAUUGCGUAAUCAGACGCCUUUUUCUUGAAAGACCUUCAAAAACUACAAAGUAUUCCAAAUCGAGUGAUGUAUAGCUAAUCAUCUAGUGGGGUGGUUAUAGGGAUUUUGUGCUUUCAUUCAAAGGGAGUGGACUGUUGAUAAUUAUCUAGCCAGAAGAGAAUCUACUGCUGUUGCUCAUUAUUGGCUCAAUAUGGUUUUACUUUUCAACAGAACUGACACAUGUUCAUAUUUUAGACCUAAGGACCCUAACUAUGUGAGCUACUUAGCUGCAUGGAAUUUGAUAUCACGGGCUACUUAGCUAGGAAUGGUUGCUCGUGUCUUUUUGGUUCUGUUGUUCCACUCCAUAUUGGUCUAUUGUUGGGUUUUUUUUUUUUUCAUUUAGCUGCUGCUUCACAGAUUUCCUGACUUGUCUCUUGUCUCCGUGAACUGGGAUACUUGUAAUUGUUGGUUAGGAACUUAGGAUGAUCGAUCACCUACGAAGUUCCAUCAUGGGACAGUUUUUGUUGUAGCCCUUUCUUUUUUUCCCUAGGUUGUACCUUUUGUACAACUUCAUCUUGAUGCUGAAACCGAGCUGUGACCGCUGCUGGUUUGAAAUUCUGAAGAAUCUGGGAAAUGUAACUCAAGAUUGCGUAGGUGUCUGCUAGUGAUCAUAUCUGCUGCUUGUAAUAGUCUGUUGGUGUUCUCGAAGCGAUUCUUAUUCCUUACCACUCAUUGAGUAUGUAUUAAGGAAUGUGUUUCCCCUGCAUAAUUAUCUGAUGUUUUCGAACUUGUCAUAGUUAAGCAUGAGAGCUCAGUUACUCAUUACUCGUUA